AUAGAGUCAAGUGAAUAAGUGCAUCAGGCGGAUGCCUUGGCGAUGAUAGGCGACGAAGGACGUGUAAGCCUGCGAAAAGCGCGGGGGAGCCGGCAAUAAAGCAAUGAUUCCGCGAUGUCCGAAUGGGGAAACCCACUGCAUUCUGUGCAGUAUCCUAAGUUGAAUACAUAGACUUAGAGAAGCGAACCCGGAGAACUGAACCAUCUAAGUACCCGGAGGAAAAGAAAUCAACCGAGAUUCCGCAAGUAGUGGCGAGCGAACGCGGAGGAGCCUGUACGUAAUAACUGUCGAGAUAGAAGAACAAGCUGGGAAGCUUGACCAUAGUGGGUGACAGUCCCGUAUUCGAAAUCUCAACAGCGGUACUAAGCGUACGAAAAGUAGGGCGGGACACGUGAAAUCCUGUCUGAAUAUGGGGGGACCAUCCUCCAAGGCUAAAUACUCAUCAUCGACCGAUAGUGAACCAGUACCGUGAGGGAAAGGCGAAAAGAACCCCGGGAGGGGAGUGAAACAGAAACCUGAAA
rnacentral:rRNA from 1 species